rnacentral:rRNA from 1 species
UACAGAGGUCUCAAGCGUUGUUCGGAUUCAUUGGGCGUAAAGGGUGCGUAGGCGGCGCGGUAAGUCGGGUGUGAAAUCUCGGGGCUUAACUCCGAAACUGCAUUCGAUACUGCCGUGCUUGAGGACUGGAGAGGAGACUGGAAUUUACGGUGUAGCGGUGAAAUGCGUAGAUAUCGAGAGGAACACCUGCGGCGAAGGCGGGUUGCUGGGCUGACACUGACGCUGAGGCGCGAAAGCCAGGGGAGCGAACGGG